rnacentral:rRNA from 1 species
UCUGUAACGACUCUCGGCAACGGAUAUCUCGGCUCUCGCAUCGAUGAAGAACGUAGUGAAAUGCGAUACUUGGUGUGAAUUGCAGAAUCCCGUGAACCAUCGAGUCUUUGAACGCAAGUUGCGCCCGAAGCCUCUGGCCGAGGGCACGCCUGCCUGGGCGUCAC